AUUGAACGCUGGCGGCAGGCCUAACACAUGCAAGUCGAACGAGUGGCGGACGGGUGAGUAAUGUCGGGGAAACUACCUGAUGGAGGGGGAAAAAUACUGGAAACGGUAGAUAAUAACGCAUACCAUCAUAUGGGCACAGAUGGGAUUAGCUAGUUGGUGGGGUACCGGCUCACCAAGGCGACGAUCCCUAGCUGGUCUGAGAGGAUGCCCAGCCACACUGGGACUGAGACACGGGCCAGACUCCUACGGGAGGCAGCAGUGGGGAAUAUUGCACAAUGGGCGCAAGCCUGAUGCAGCCAUGCCGCGUGUAUGAAGAAGGCCUUCGGGUUGUAAAGCACUUUCAGCGAGGAGGCGUUACUCGCAGAAGAAGCACCGGCUAACUCCGUGCCAGCAGCCGCGGUAAUUC
rnacentral:rRNA from 1 species